CUAUGUCGGCUACAAUCGGUUAUGUUCGGCUAUAGCAAUAAUUCCAAUUUUCAUGUGAUCUUAAAAUCGCGAUUUAUAGACCGUUAUAAUUUAAAACAGUUAAUUCUCAGAUCUCUAUUAGAAUUACUUUUUAGAAUUUUAUUUAAGAGAUGAUAAUUUAAAAAUGAUGUAAAUAAUAAUGAAAAAUAAGAUUCGAAAAAUUCUUUUUAUCCAUAAAUCGUUCCAACAAUCAUGAAAAGUUGUAUGAAGAAAAUUACGAGUGCUAUGAACUAGAAGAAAUUGGCGACUUCUAAUUUCUGGAAGAAAAUGGUCAGAGGAAAUGGAAACAAAUUGAAGGAAACGAAACAAAAGUAAGUUUUGUCUCGAGUUUGAUAAUUUUACCGUCAUAAGGCAAUAAUUACCUUUACCUAUUUUAUUUCUGAGAUUGAGGAGGGAAGACUCGUGCAUAUUACUGAGCCAGUAAAGUGCUCAGGAGAUAAAUGAGAAGGGAAAAAAAAAGUAUUGAAAGAAUGUGCCGUAAGAUAAAUGAUAUCUACUCACUGCUGUGCAUUUACAAGAAAAGAGAUUAAGAAAACUUGCUCGUGGCUUUGCUCAUUUAUUUUUCCAAAGAUAAUUCGAUAAUUGAUGCGAGGUGAUUUUUUUAUUCGAAUUCGUUAUUAAUGAAGCGUUUUUCUUUUUUUGCGUUAUUGUUUAAUACAUUAUUAUUCAAAUCACAAUUAAAUUUAUAUUCAAGUAUUUUAAUUCAAGUUACUUUAAUUUGAAUAAGAUUAAACAAAUUUUUUCUGUGUAAUUCUAGUUCUAUUUUGAAAAUUUUUUAAAAUUCUUAGAAAUAUUUCUUUUUUUUAUAUUUAACACAAGUAGUAAUUAAAUUUAAGUUUACAACAUUUAAUUAAAGUUGUAAACGUUUUUAAAAUUUCAUAUUAUUUUCAUUUGAUUUCAAUUCAGAAGUGCUCUUCGUUUGUAAACAGACUCUUGAAUUAAAAACACUGGUGAAUGAGAAUCAUAUUCACGAGUUUUACCAAACACUCUACUGAAUUGUUAUCGAAUUUUCAACAACAUAAAAUCGACACAAAUUCUUUUAUAAUAUAUAUAUGUGUGUGUGUGUGAACAAUUGAAGAAUAUAAUUUGAGAUUCUUGAUAUUGAAAAAGAGAGGAAAGAUUGAAAAUUGAGAUUGAAAAUUGACCAAAUGAAGAAUGUAGGUAUAGGAAGCUGGUUAUCCAGUGAAAUUCGAUUCAGAAAUUAGUUCCUUUAACACACCAUGGUUUCAAGAUUCGAAAUCCUAUGGUUUGAACCUUCAAUCGCAUUCUGACGUGGACUCUUCGUUAAUCCACGUCGAGAUCAACUUUGACAAAUGGGAUCAGUCAGAAUUGCUUUUGAAGUGAGGCUAUCUGUGAUGUAAUUACAUUCCUUAAUUUCAAGUAUAUAUAAUCAUCCUAUAAUUUGUUUUGUCUAAUCCUUUUUUUUUUUGUCUAAAAAUAUAAAGAAUUAUAUAUUAUCGUAUAUACCAAGCGAUGAUUAUUUCUCUAAGUAAAAAUUGUAUUACAAAUCUACUUUACUUGUUCUAUUUUAAUGUGUGUUGUUUUUUUUUCUUUCCGUGAUUUUUGACAACAAAAAAAGCUAUUGUGAUAGUUGGGGAAUAAAAAUUUUUACAUGUACAGGGAGAUUCGAUCAUUUUGAUUGCAGGAAAAUUGGAAUUUGAGCUAUUUAAAUAGAAAAAUCGAAAUUUAAUUUCGAUAUGAUUCGAUCAGAGCUUCGAUUUUUCUUUCUCGAUUUUACUGAACAGUUUAAAGUCAAAAUAAAUGUAUCGAUAUCGAUUUGAUGCAAUUCUUUUCCAGUAGGGAUGAUUCUUUGUAAUCGUAAUUAAAUUUCAAAAAGAUUGAAAAAAAAAACAAUUUUUUCUUUGAGUAGUCAAUACAAAAUUGGAGAGGAUAAUCAAAACCAAGUUCUUCUUUUUAUUGUAUUCGAUAAAUUGGAUCGUCAACGUAGAUAUUUAAAAUAUUCCACUUUUUUUGAUUAAACGAUGAUAUAUUUCGAAAUUAGAAAAUUCAAGCAUUAGAUUCUUGCCAUUAAAAUCGAGGACACGUGAUCUAUCUACAGAACUCGGGAAUGGUUGAGUCACCAACAGAAUUAACCAAUUAGCAACAAGUUAGAGAAACUUCUCUGUGCAAAGACAGCACAAAAAACCAGUUAUUUCACAUAGUCACGAACAAUUCGUUCUGCAAAAACACGUCUCAUUAAUAUUCGCUUCAAGACUACAUCAUUAGAGCCACAUCUAAUUACCAUUUCAACCUAACCUCAAUUAUUCUAAUCGAACUGAAAAUGUAUAUCUAUAUAUAUAUAUAUAUAUAAAUUCCAAUAUGAAAUUUCCUUUUCUUUAAUUUGACGAGUUUCGAGCAAUUUGUUUCCCUUUGUUGAAAGUAACGGACAAUGUUCCUCAAAACUUUUUUUUUUGCUCUCUCUCUCUCUCUCUCUCUCUCUCUCUCUCUCUCUCUCUCUCUCUCUCUCUCUUCAUAUUUAUCCAUUUCCAACGGAAGUUGAAUGGAGACCACAUCCAGCCAAAAUUUCGAGGAAAACUUUGUCCAUGGAAAAAAUUUAUCAGAAUGUCUCUAUAAAUGGCCAUUAUAUGUACAGUUUAAUGCCGCUAUUCAACAUUUUCACUGGCUCGUUUUAAAAUUAAACAUGGCGGCAAGCGAGGAACUACGAUUACAUAAUUGAAGAUUUCUGUGCUCUAUUGUUUGUGUAUUCUAUGUUUAUAUUUAAGUGGAUGUAGUGAAGAAGAUGUGGAAUGAUAAAGGAAAUGGAUAAAUAUUAUAUUUGUUUGUUUUUUUAGCUGUUAUACAAUUGGAAGAUCAAAAAAGAAUUUUGCAUAUUGUAAUAAAUAAGAUUCCGUGAGUAUUUAUUUAAAUUCGAAUUGUGAAAAUUGGAAUAUUCAAAAAUUUAUUUAUCUAACAUAUAUUAUAGAAGUAAAGAGAAUGGAAUUUUUUAUUAAAUAUUUUUCUUUUAUUUUAAUAAAUAUUUUGCGAUCGAAGAAAUUUUCACUCAAAUCUUUGGAAAAUUAAAUAAAUUCGAUUGCAAUUAAUCGAGAAAAAUAAUAAUAAUAAUUACCAAGAUAAUCCUUACUAGCGUGAAAGUCUGUUCGUCGCAAAAAUCGAGCUAAUAUUUUUUUUUAUCGACACAAAACAUUCUUCUUUGAUUAAACACGUCGGGCGUCUUGACGGCGUCGAACGGAGAAAGGAAAAAAAGAAAAAAGAAAAAGGAAACACGGCCAACUUUAAUAUCGAAGCCAAGUGACGCACGUUGAUGCGAGGGAGCUCUUUUUCUCUCUCUUUCUUUAAAAAAUAAUCCGUGUCUUGAAUUAGAAACUCAAUCGUUCUCUAACGCGUGACUGAGGAAACGCACAAGAGUUGAAAUUGCUUCUCUACGUGUGUAGAAUCAAUAAUAUCACUUGUAAAUAUACAAAUGAUGGAAAAUAUUCUUUUCAACGAUGCUUUGAUUAUUGAGAAGUUAAUCAUUUGAUCAAUUUGAUGAAAAAAAUACAAUGGUACAAUACAGUUUUACAAAAUAAGUAAAUACACUGUUUACUCCUUCUCACGAUGUGAAAUUUAUCCUUUGUCUGGUAUAAACUAUUUUUGUGAACCAAAUAACCGUAUGUAUGUAACGAGGGUACGAAGGAGAAUCUCGAUAAAUUGCAAGAAAAGUUGGUAUAAUGUUGAUGAAAUAUGGUGGAGGGUGGCGAGUUGGUUUUAAGUUUACGACGCACAGAGUAUCCCCCUGUUUUAAAGAUAAUAUCCAACAAGAGUAACGAAGGUCUUGGUCCCUUAGAAAAGGGUCGCAAAAUCCAAACAUUGUGACUUUGCAUGCUCAACUACACCAAUAACAGAUUAAAAAAUUGAUAAAAAUUAGAAAAAUAGAAUUAAUAAAUUAAUAAAAAUAUAUAUGCGUCGAUUGAAAAUUCAUGAAUGUCGAAUGUAUCGUAUUUUAAUGAAGAAAUUGGAUUUUUGGAAAGAGUGAAAAUUUUAAUUUUGUAUAAUUUUUUUUUAUAUACUUCUUUGACUAAUUGAGUAUGGAAUAAUUUAUCAAUGGGCCACUGGAUGAUACUUUCCUUUGUCCCAUGUGACCCAUAAGAUAUUUUAGCCCAAGUGACUGGAAAGUUUUAAAACAAGAUCCAUUUAACAGGUUACAACUAGUAUUCAUAAAAAGCUAAAUGGUUUUUCAAAUUUGUAAAAUUAUAUUUAAGGAUAUAAUUAAUUUUAAAACUCGUCGUCAGAAAUAUUUUAUAUCGACAUUUCAUAUCCAUGUAUUCUUUCUCGCAAAUUCACGAAACAUUCGUGCAAAAACUCAUUCAACCAUUUUUAAAUUAAUUAAGAGACCUAGCACAACAAAUAAUUAAGCUUUCUUCAACCGUGAAAUCUUUUAUCAACAAUUGUUCGCUCUCAAUCUUGAUUUUCUGAGUGAAUUGAUAUAUCCAGAGGGUUCCGUUUCCCUUUUCUUCGCGAAAAGGUAGGAACAGCGAAAGGUAAACGUUGUCACAGUAUCUUCUUCGUUUGAUCUUUCUCCACUGCGCAAAAGACUUCCUUUUUAGUGAAAAUAAACGCGUGAUGUGCUCGUCGCUUUGAAUUUUGUGCUCGAUUUCAGACUGUGGAUAGAUGGUUUCAGGUUGUGAUUACGAGAUCGACUAUGUGUUUAUAUUUUUUUCUCUGAUCGAUAAUUAAAUUUGUCAAUCAUUGCUCUUGGCGAUAAUUAAACGAUAAUAUAAAAUAAUAAAAUAAAGUUAUCGAGCAAUAUUAAUUAUUCUUAAUCAAAAUAUUCGUGCCAUGUAAAUAUCCGAUAAAAUUAUUGACACUUACUACUUGUUUCAACAAAUUGUAUCUAUACUAUUGAUCGUGUUAUUGAAAAAUUCUCUGUGAUUACUUUUUUUCAUUUAUCUGCCAGCAUCACAACUGGCUUAUUCUUAGUUACGUAUGAUUCAUAAUUAGUCUAUCCAUCUAACAAUGUACGUUUCCAAGAUGUAAUUUGAGAGAUAAUUGUUUACCUGUCUUUACCUAUUUUUUGGUGACAAACCACUUAUCAAUGUCUUCUUUUUUUUCCAUUUUCGAAAUCGCUACAUCUCCUUUUUCUCUUGCAAUGAAAAAUCGAUGAUGCUCCUUCUAUUUCUUCAUGUAUCGUGUUCGUUGAAAGAAGUUGUUCGAUUUUACGAUUUCACAAAAAAAGAAAAAGAAAAUAAAAACGCCCUCGACAACAAUCGUAGCAGCGCAGACACGUGACAAUAACUCGGGCAAAAAUUCUGAGAGCAUCUGGAAAAGUCGUUAUUCCCCGAUUCCCUGCCAUUGUGUCGCACUCGAUCUGUCAAAGGGGUUGCAUCUUCUCUCCAUCGUUCCUCUCUUAUUCGAGGCGAGGAAGAGAAGGCAUCUUCGACUCGUUCUUUUUCUUUUUUUUUUCCACGAGUAAGACGAGGGUCGCACAAAGGGAAGAAUCGUACGUGCCUCGUCGAGCAUAUAGAUUCUUUCCAACUUGUCUAGAGAUGUCUGUCUUUGUGCCUAUUCAUUUGUCUAUCCAUUUCACAUGGUCUGUUAAGCAAACUGUCAUUGGAUUCAAAUCUUCUUUCCUUUUUUUUUUUCGAUUGUUGUAACGUAGAAUCUUUUGUAUUGAAUUUAUAUAUGUAAAGAUGCUCGUAUCUUGUAUAUUUGAUACGUGAUAUUGCCUUUUCCUCUUUUUGAACACAUGAUAUAACGAGCUCAAUAUAGUGGAACAAAGGUACACUCAUAUUUGUAUAACAUAGUUUAUUCUUAUUUCCUUUCUUAAAUAUAUUUUUUAAUUCAAUCAAAUUUAUUUCCUUUAAUUUAUUUAUAUCUUUUUUUUCAUAGGAAUAUUCGUGGGAUAUAAAUUUAAAUUUGGAAAGAAUGGCUCCAUGCUAGAUGCAGAAAUAUUGAUUGGUUCCUUAUUGAUGAAAGAAAAUAAAAUAAAUGUAAGAAUACAGUGUGUAAAAAAAAUUCUGAUUAUUUCAACGAUAAUAAUAAUAAUACAAUAUUUUACAAUCUAAAUUUUAAUCUACAAACGAAAAGAAAUCAAACAAAUGAAGUGAAUCUUAACAGAUUGAUAAGAUAUAUCAAUAUCAUUCUUCACUUACUAGAAGAAAAAAAUAUUAUUAACUUCAAUAAUCAAUAUUAGAAUUUGAUUAAGAUAAUCAAAACAUUAUUAAACAUUGAACAAUUAACAACAUCUAGUAGACAAGAAAACAAAUGCUCGAUUCCAUAAGAAAAAAGAAAAAUAUAUAUAUAUUUAGAACGAGAUCCACUCUACAUCUCAUUCUCCAACAAAUGGAUAACAUUGUCCGUACGAAACGGGCCGGUGCACCACAACCGAUGCUACAAGCGAUUCGAGCAGCUCCCAGGGACAGAAAGGCACCAAGUUUAAUCUAGCUUGUGCAAUCUCGUCUAAACGUAUCGAAAUCCGGUCGAAUAUAAAUCACAGGGGUGUGAGGGGGUGAGGUGUAUCCGAAAGCGAGCCAUCAUUUAUUCAACGUUCGCCCCUGAUCCCUAGCUAACCUGAAGGGGGUGGAACUAGACUUCCUGGACACCUGGAAUUCUCCCUCUACCCCAGCUUUCUUCCAUUCCCUCUCAGUCAGGGGAUUAGUUAGUGAUCAGCUUUGCUUUGUAAUCGCCAGUGUUUCUCACCCCCUUUCGACACUCUGAAAGACGUCGUAAAAGAAACGGAUAAACGGAUAUUGUACACUCGUAGGAGCGAUGCAAGAUUUAGCUUUAUGGAUAGUGGGUCUAAUGAGGAGAUUGUUUUACGAGCAAUUUGGCUUAUUGUCGGGACAAGUAACUUGUAACUUUCAAUUGUUAUUCUCUUGUUCAAUGUGGGAGGAAUUUUGGUUUUUUGAAAGCAUUUGGAUUGGACAAUUUGAGGGGAAAGGGGUUUGAUGCGAUUGAGUGAUCGAUCUGUACUACUUGUUUCAACUAUAAUUGAUUUAUUUUACUUGUCCGGUUAGGUUUGAAUUAUCGAUUUUCAUUUUUCUGAUCGUGAUGGGCUUAUCCCAUUUGUUACAACAGCCACUGUCCAUUUGUCUGGCAUAUGAUUGAUCUGUAUUACUUAGUCGAGAGUGAUUGAUUUAUUAUUGUCCGAUCGUUUAAAUUAUAUUUCGAUAAAUAUGGAAUAUUUAAAUAAUGCUUUUCGAUGAAUAAAAGCAUCGUUUAAUUAAAAUUAUACACACUGCAAUGCAUACAGAACAAUAUUCUAAUUGGUAGAGCAAAAAAUAUUCAGUUAUAUAGAUGUAUAUGGAUGUUACAUGGAUUUUAAGGAUGAAGGAAAUGUUUCCUAAGUGAACCAGAAUGACACGUUAGAAAAAUGAUCCACCUGAGAAAGGCUGAAUGAAAGUCAUCUUGUAUCAUUUAUGCAGAGAGGCAUACGUUUUUAGAAAACCUUUGAUUCUUUUCCUAACCAAGCAGUGAAAAUUUUAUACGCUGCUACUGUGAUAUAUUAAAAUAUAUCGUCAAAAAUAAAGAAACACAGUGUUUGAGAUAAACUCGUAUAAUUUUUCUCAAAUAUGAUAAAUCACAUAAAAUAUUAUAAAGAUAUUUCCAAUGAAACAACGCGAGUAUUUUCGAUACAUUCUCGACAAAAUCAAUUUCCCUCCCAUUAUGAUUAACAAUAAAACGUUUAUUAGAAAUAUUAUUAGAAAUAAAAACUACGAUUAACAAAAAUAUUCUGGAAAUCGAUCCACACAACCAACCAAGAAUUAUCAUUUCAAAUCUUUCCAAUACAUCAUCGUCCCAUUGAAAUGGAAUAAUUUCGCGAUAUUUCAUCCGGAAUGCGUUUUCGCAUUGCAGAUUUUAGGCAAGGGAGAGGAUUAAGCGACAUUUUUUUUUUCGAGCUUUGCCCUCGAGCUUUCAUCAAUCAUCGGGCAUCGAGCGUCGGGGGUUGGAUCGACGAGGUUGACAAUGAGGUGGCGAUUCUUCCCUCGAAUAUGUCAGCCAUCCUUAUCUUCUAACAUCAAUCACGCGUUUAGGAUUAAUAGCCGUGGAUGAAGCAGCGAUUUUCGCGAUUACAAAACUGACAGAUCCUCUUGCUUCCUUCUUAUUAUCCCCGCGAUAAAUAUUGUAAUAAUAUCCACAUAAGAAGAUUAAAGAAUUUUGUAAUUUAUCUUAAAAA